UACGAAGGGUGCAAGCGUUAAUCGGAAUUACUGGGCGUAAAGCGUGCGCAGGCGGCUUUGCAAGACAGAUGUGAAAUCCCCGGGCUCAACCUGGGAACUGCAUUUGUGACUGCAAGGCUAGAGUACGGCAGAGGGGGAUGGAAUUCCGCGUGUAGCAGUGAAAUGCGUAGAUAUGCGGAGGAACACCAAUGGCGAAGGCAAUCCCCUGGGCCCGUACUGACGCUCAUGCACGAAAGCGUGGGGAGCAAACAGG
rnacentral:rRNA from 1 species